rnacentral:tRNA from 1 species
GGUAAGAUGGCUGAAGAUACAGGUGGUAGACUGUAAAUCUAUUUAUGAGGGUGAUACCUCUCUUACCA